UACGGAGGGUGCAAGCGUUAAUCGGAAUUACUGGGCGUAAAGCGUACGUAGGCGGCUUUGUAAGUUAGAGGUGAAAGCCCGGAGCUCAACUCCGGAAUUGCCUUUAAGACUGCAUCGCUUGAAUCAUGGAGAGGUUAGUGGAAUUCCGAGUGUAGAGGUGAAAUUCGUAGAUAUUCGGAAGAACACCAGUGGCGAAGGCGACUAACUGGACAUGUAUUGACGCUGAGGUACGAAAGCGUGGGGAGCAAACAGG
rnacentral:rRNA from 1 species